CACAGCAGAGAGCCCAGGACAGUGACGGGGAAGUGAGGAGCACAGGAUGGGCGUCACAUGUGCCUCUUCUGCUAGCCUCCUUCUAGCUCCGUGGUGACUCUAACACCACCUAACUGGAGCUCCAGGGAGCGAACCUGCCUCUGUUGGGAAAGGCCAGAGGCUCCUCUGUGCCCUGCCCUUGGGAGAACAGGUUAGAUCUACCUAGGGGCCCAGCACCCUGUAUCCUCCUCUCCCGGGGCAGGUGCUGGGGUGUUUCCGCUGCCGCAGAAGAUGCCAUGCCUGGCCUUGGGCUUGUGCGUUUGACGUCAAUGGUCUUGGCGGGCUGCACGCAGGCGCAUCUGAUCUCGGGAGGGCAGACCUGCAGCUGCCAGAGAGGUGGCCUCAGCCCCUCCUGUGGUCCCCAGAGGUAUUGUAAUCCCAAACACGAAUAUUGUAAUCCAAGUACUGUAAUCCUUUUUUGGUCUUCCUCACAACUCAAAAAUUUUAUAUUUGUAAUCCCACUGGAAAGUUAUUGGAAUCCGAGCAAGUUAAUUCCAAUCCACCACCUCCAAAGCGACCCACAGCAUGAGGGAAGACAGCAAGAUAUUUGCAGAGUUAAGGGCAGCCAAGGGUUCCUGAGUCCAAUCCCUGUGAGGCUGUGUGGACCGAGGCUCUCAGGAUUUACUAUCCUGUGAAGAAGGGCGUAGCUCGAGGAUGAGCCACUGUAAGGAUGGCAGGAACUCCGAGAGUAACCUGAGCUGGCCAGGUGGGGAGAAAAGCAUCUCUGCAAAGUGCAGGGAGAAAGACAUGGAGAAAGGUCAGUCUGCAUGACUCAAGAAAGGUAGCAACUGAGUGGUUUUGGGGGCUUUGCUUCCGUUUCUGACAUGUAAACUUCUGUGCGCUGGGGUGUCACAGCCUCUGUAUCCGAUCCUCACGCCCAGCUGACAUUCCCGGAGCUGACUGGCUCUGCCAUCCCGCCGCGCUCAGAUCUGGGGACACGUCUUUUACAGAGCAUGAGGAAACCCAAGUCCGUCAGAAUGGCCUCAGCCGGCCUUGGCUGCACUGCCUGGAGCCAACUGAAGAGAGAAAAAAACAGCACAGCCAGCUCAGUGUAAGGAAAUGAGCCGUGACUUGACUGACAGGGCAGCAAUCACUGCAUUGCCGGAGAGGCGCCCAGCUCGUCUUCUACACAGGUGGGCGUCCAUGCAGAGGCCACAGCCUUUCUGGGUGUGCAGAAGCCCAUUGCCCUUCCAUCAGCGUGCAUU
rnacentral:lncRNA from 1 species